rnacentral:rRNA from 1 species
UACGUAGGGUGCAAGCGUUAAUCGGAAUUACUGGGCGUAAAGCGUGCGCAGGCGGUCGUGCAAGACAGAGGUGAAAUCCCCGGGCUUAACCUGGGAACUGCCUUUGUGACUGUACGGCUGGAGUGCGGCAGAGGGGGAUGGAAUUCCGCGUGUAGCAGUGAAAUGCGUAGAUAUGCGGAGGAACACCGAUGGCGAAGGCAGUCCCCUGGGCCUGUACUGACGCUCAUGCACGAAAGCGUGGGGAGCAAACAGG